GAUGAACGCUGGCGGCGUGCCUAAUACAUGCAAGUCGAGCGAACAGAUGAGGAGCUUGCUGCUCUGACGUUAGCGGAGCACGGGAGAGUAACACGUGGAUAACCCACCUAUAAGACUGGGAUAACUUCGGGAAACCGGAGCUAAUACGGGAUAAUAUAUUGAACCGUGUGGGUCAAUAGUGAAAGACGGCUUUGCUGUCACUACUAGAUGGAUAUGAGCCGGAUUAGCUAGUAGGUAAGGUAAAGGGUUACCAAGGGUACGAUGCGUAGCCGACCGAAGGGAGGGGUCGGCCACACUGGAAGGGAGCCAGGGACCAUACGACUACGGUAGGGAGCAGUAGGGAAUCUGCCGCAAUAGGCGAAAGUCUUACGGAGCAGCGCCACGUGUGUGAUAGAGGUCUUGGGAUCGUAAAACUCUGUUAUGGGGUAUGAACAAAUUUGUAAGUUACUAUGCACGUCGUGACGGUACCUGAUCAGGAAGCCACGGCUAACUACGUG
rnacentral:rRNA from 1 species